rnacentral:lncRNA from 10 species
GAGAAGCAGCUGUGGAGAGCUGAUGCACAAGCCCACAGUAGGGUGAGCAAGCCUGGAGUAGGGUGACAACAUGGAGGAGGGAGCGCCUGGCUCUGCCAGGAAUCGGCCAAGGCUCAACAGUGUUUAUGCCUUAAGACAAGAAAACAGCACGGAGUUGAGAGCUUAAGCUCUGGAACUGGGCAAGUUCUCUCAAAGCCUCAUCGGGCUACUCUAAGAAUUAAAUUAAAACACUAACAAGCACAGAAUAAGCUAGUUCCUGAUAUAGUAAGAGCUUAUUAUGUGCCAGGAACUGUUGAGCAGAAACCUAUCACUUUUGAGCGACUAUGAUGUGCCAGGCCUUGUUCAAAAACUCAAUGGCAGAGACCCACGUAUUGAGGGACUGAAGUUUCAGCAGCACAUGAGUGACCUUCGAAAUGGAUCCUCCAUCACCUUCAGAUGACUGCAGCCCUGGAUCACAACUUCACCACAACCUUGAGAGUGACCCUCACCUUGAACCUCCCAGCCAAGCUGUUCUCAGACUGUCCUCUGGUGGAGCUUUUGUGCUGCAUUGAAACAUGGAGGAGAAGGUCAAAGGGGAAGCAAGCAUGAAGAGGGACCAGACCAGAGGGGCAUCCUGGAUUUAUAGAAACCUACUCUUGGGGGAACUAAUCCAUUCCUGUGAGAACUAAACCAGUCUCACCAGAGCAAGAAAUCACUCACUGCCACAAGGACAGCACCAAGAUAUUCAGGAAGGACCUGUCCCCAUGACCCAAACACCUCCCACCACACCCUACUUCUCAACACAGACACACGGGGGAAUCAAAUUUCAACAUGAGAUUUGGUGAAGACAAACAAACCAUAUCCUAACCAUAGCACUUCCCAAGAAUGGCAUAAGAUUUAACUGAGGUAAUGUUACUGAAAUGCCAGGGGUUCACUCUAGGUCCUUCUGCUUGCCACACAGAAAGCCAAUCACUGAGACAAUGAGUAUGACUAGGGAAGAAGUCUUUAAUUAGGUGCUGCAGCCAAGGCAAUGGGUGAUUGGUCUCAAAUCUAUCUCCCUGACUAACUAAAAUUAGAAGUUUAUAUAGCAGGGAAGAACUAUAACCACGUAUGGGAAAACAAGAAUUAGUGAGGGGUAAGGAAGAGGAGUUGGUCAACAGGAAGCAGGUGGCUGGCUAGGCACUCAUGACAGGUGAGGGGUCUGGUGUUUCACUGUCCAGAUGCAGUGAUCUGGUAAGUUUCAGUUCCUUGAUACUAUCUGGGAGGGCUGAUGUUUGGUUUUCUGAGAAAGGAACUCAGAUAAAAUAAAUGUUUAGUGCUUCAGUGGAAGUUUAUAUAUAUGUAACUUUCCCAAGUUUCAAGACUGGGAGGAUGAAUUUCUAUGUUUAUUCAAAAGAAACCAUAAACAUCAGUUCUAGGGACAAUUGGGCUGGCUUCAGUCAUGCACAUUUAGCCCUUUCCUGUACCCUACAUCCCCUCUAUUUGAAAGCAGUGGUCCUACACUCAAACAGUCUUCAGGUCCUCACCUCCAACCAUGACCUCCCUCUUGUAUGUCUUGUCUUUCUAAGGGAUCCCCAGUCACCCACCCAAAAAGCUAGUGGCUGUCCAAGGCUCCUCCUUUGCCUUCAUCCUCCCGGCUCUGAACAACUCCUGGCCACUGAUUCCUGUCUGAGUUAGGAGUUAGAUGCAUCUGCUCUGAGCUCCCCUGAUCUACACGUACUUCACAAUGUGCACUUUACCCACACUGGUGAAUGCUCAGUAGACUCAGAUUGUCUUGCAGGAAGGACUUAGGGUUUUUAUCUCUGAAUAAUGAUAUUUGUGGAACUAAAGUGAAAUAAAAGAAUAAUAGCUCAA